CAGAGCUUGCUCUGUGGAUCAGUGGCGAACGGGUGAGUAACACGUGAGCAAUCUGCCCCUGACUCUGGGAUAAGCGCUGGAAACGGCGUCUAAUACCGGAUACGAGCUGCGAUCGCAUGGUCAGUAGCUGGAAAGAAUUUCGGUCAGGGAUGAGCUCGCGGCCUAUCAGCUUGUUGGUGAGGUAAUGGCUCACCAAGGCGUCGACGGGUAGCCGGCCUGAGAGGGUGACCGGCCACACUGGGACUGAGACACGGCCCAGACUCCUACGGGAGGCAGCAGUGGGGAAUAUUGCACAAUGGGCGGAAGCCUGAUGCAGCAACGCCGCGUGAGGGAUGACGGCCUUCGGGUUGUAAACCUCUUUUAGCAGGGAAGAAGCGAAAGUGACGGUACCUGCAGAAAAAGCGCCGGCUAACUACGUGCCAGCAGCCGCGGUAAUACGUAGGGCGCAAGCGUUAUCCGGAAUUAUUGGGCGUAAAGAGCUCGUAGGCGGUCUGUCGCGUCUGCUGUGAAAACCCGAGGCUCAACCUCGGGCCUGCAGUGGGUACGGGCAGACUAGAGUGCGGUAGGGGAGAUUGGAAUUCCUGGUGUAGCGGUGGAAUGCGCAGAUAUCAGGAGGAACACCGAUGGCGAAGGCAGAUCUCUGGGCCGUAACUGACGCUGAGGAGCGAAAGGGUGGGGAGCAAACAGGCUUAGAUACCCU
rnacentral:rRNA from 1 species